rnacentral:rRNA from 1 species
UGGGAGGAAAAGAAACCAACAGGGAUUGCCCUAGUAACGGCGAGUGAAGCGGCAACAGCUCAAAUUUGAAAGCUAGCCUUCGGGUUCGCAUUGUAAUUUGUAGAGGAUGAUUUGGGGAAGCCGCCUGUCUAAGUUCCUUCGGAACAGGACGUCAUAGAGGGUGAGAAUCCCGUAUGUGACAGGAAAUGGCACCCUAUGUAAAUCUCCUUCGACGAGUCGAGUUGUUUGGGAAUGCAGCUCUAAAUGGGAGGUAAAUUUCUUCUAAAGCUAAAUAUUGGCGAGAGACCGAUAGCGCACAAGUAGAGUGAUCGAAAGAUGAAAAGCACUUUGGAAAGAGAGUUAAAAAGCACGUGAAAUUGUUGAAAGGGAAGCGCUUGCAAUCAGACUUGUUUAAACUGUUCGGCCGGUCUUCUGACCGGUUUACUCAGUUUGGACAGGCCAGCAUCAGUUUCGGCGGCCGGAUAAAGGCUCUGGGAAUGUGGCCUCCACUUCGGUGGAGGUGUUAUAGCCCAGGGUGUAAUACGGCCAGCCGGGACUGAGGUCCGCGCUUCGGCUAGG